UGCUAUGGAUGGAGGAAAGUGAUUGAUC
rnacentral:piRNA from 2 species